rnacentral:misc_RNA from 1 species
GGGAAGAGCAGUAGAGCAACAUCCAUGCUACGGCACCAUCGACAUCAAAAUAAAACCACAAUCACAAGAAUCUACAAGUCUGAUAGAGGGGAAGAGCAGUAGAGCAUCAAUGCUACUACUCAAAUUUGCUUAGACAUCAAAGAUCCAAUAAGGAUGGUUGGAAAUCGACGAUUCAACAAGCAAGGGCAGUUGGAUUCCACAGGGUUUAAAAAGAAGAUGGCCGGGAGAGGUUUCGUGGCUGAAUGGGUAGCCACACGAAAAUUAGCCACACGAUUCAUGUCUGAAUGGAAGAUGGGAAGAGGCGAAGACUGAGAGCAAAGGAAUAUGGGUAGCAGAUGGAGAAAUUAGGGAUUUUAGACUUCAGGCAAACGACACUGUUUUACGCCUUUUUUAAGUUUCGUUCCAUUUUUUGAAUUUUUGUCUCUAAAAUGAAUCGAACUGAGUAAAUUAAAAU